AUAGUCUCUUGUGAUCCUCAACCAUGUGUUGGUUCUAUAAUGAGCUAGAACUCUACUGAAGAGACUUUAUGGGAUAAGGAAGAGACACCAUAGAUUUCUCUUUCUGCAUGCAUGCACAGAAGAAAGUCCAUAUUAGGACACAGUGAAAAGAUGGCCAUCUACAAGCCAGGAAGAGAGGCCUUAUCAGACACCAACGCUGACAGCACCUGGAUCUUGUACUUCUAGCCUCCAGAACUGAAAUUGUCCUUUUCACCUAAAUUUUUGAAUAUCUUGGCAUGAGUACACAGUUUGAUCCUAAAACUCAUAUGGAAAAAUAAACAGUCAAAUAGCCAGGAAAGCUCUGAAAAGGAAGAGCAAUGAAGAAGGCCCAGAAUUACAGAGCAAUAAAACAAAUUGUAUAAGCACCA